rnacentral:rRNA from 1 species
GAAGAAAGAGGGAGGCGUGCUUAACACAUGCAAGUCGAACGGAAAGGCCCUGCUUUUGUGGGGUGCUCGAGUGGCGAACGGGUGAGUAACACGUGAGUAACCUGCCCUUGACUUUGGGAUAACUUCAGGAAACUGGGGCUAAUACCGGAUAGGAGCUACUGCUGCAUGGUGGGGGUUGGAAAGUUUCGGCGGUUGGGGAUGGACUCGCGGCUUAUCAGCUUGUUGGUGGGGUAGUGGCUUACCAAGGCUUUGACGGGUAGCCGGCCUGAGAGGGUGACCGGCCACAUUGGGACUGAGAUACGGCCCAGACUCCUACGGGAGGCAGCGGUGGGGAAUAGUGCACAAUGGGCGGAAGCCUGAUGCAGCAACGCCGCGUGCGGGAUGACGGCCAUCGGGUUGUAAACCGCUUUCGCCUGUGACGAAGCGUGAGUGACGGUAAUGGGUAAAGAAGCACCGGCUAACUACGUG